GCCUCUAUAGCUCAGUGGUAGAGCGCUUGACGUAUGUUCUGUUCACUUGUCUUGAAUUCUCUUGAAUAUUUUGACUAACAUUAAAUAGUUGUAUCCUGUGAUAUCAAGAGGUCCGUGGUUCAAUCCCGCGUGGAGGCA